rnacentral:rRNA from 1 species
GCUUGUCUCAAAGAUUAAGCCAUGCAUGUCUUAGUGUAAAUAACUCUUAUGAAACUGCGAAUGGCUCAUUAAAUCAGUUAUCAAAUACGUGAUGGUCGCCUACUACAUGGAUAACCGUAGUAAUUCUAGAGCUAAUACAUGCAUCAAGCCCUGACUUCGGAAGGGGUGUAUUUAUUAGAUGGAAACCAAUGCGGGGCAACCCGGAAAAUGGUGAUUCAUAAUAACUUUCGGAUCGUUUACGAUGCAUCAUUCAAGUUUCUGCCCUAUCAGCUUUGGAUGGUAGGGUAUUGGCCUACCAUGGCUUUAACGGGUAACGGAGAAUUAGGGUUCGAUUCCGGAGAGGGAGCCUGAGAAAUGGCUACCACAUCCAAGGAAGGCAGCAGG